rnacentral:rRNA from 1 species
UACGAAGGGUGCAAGCGUUAAUCGGAAUUACUGGGUGUAAAGGGUGCGCAGGCGGUUGUUUAAGUCUGUCGUGAAAUCCCCGGGCUCAACCUGGGAAUGGCGAUGGAUACUGGGCAGCUAGAGUGUGUCAGAGGAUGGUGGAAUUCCCGGUGUAGCGGUGAAAUGCGUAGAGAUCGGGAGGAACAUCAGUGGCGAAGGCGGCCAUCUGGGACAACACUGACGCUGAAGCACGAAAGCGUGGGGAGCAAACAGG